rnacentral:tRNA from 2 species
GGAGGGGUGCCGGAGUGGUUUAACGGAGCGGUCCCGAAAACCGCGGUCUUUACGGGCCUCGUGAGUUCGAAUCUCACCCCCUCCGCCU